AUUGAACGCUGGCGGCAGGCCUAACACAUGCAAGUCGAACGGUAACAGGAAGAAGCUUGCUUCUUUGCUGACGAGUGGCGGACGGGUGAGUAAUGUCUGGGAAACUGCCUGAUGGAGGGGGAUAACUACUGGAAACGGUAGCUAAUACCGCAUAACGUCGCAAGCCCAAAGAGGGGGACCUUCGGGCCUCUUGCCAUCGGAUGUGCCCAGAUGGGAUUAGCUAGUAGGUGGGGUAACGGCUCACCUAGGCGACGAUCCCUAGCUGGUCUGAGAGGAUGACCAGCCACACUGGAACUGAGACACGGUCAAGACUCCUACGGGAGGCAGCAGUGGGGAAUAUUGCACAAUGGGCGCAAGCCUGAUGCAGCCAUGCCGCGUGUAUGAAGAAGGCCUUCGGGUUGUAAAGUACUUUCAGCGGGGAGGAAGGGAGUAAAGUUAAUACCUUUGCUCAUUGACGUUACCCGCAGAAGAAGCACCGGCUAACUCCGUG
rnacentral:rRNA from 1 species